rnacentral:rRNA from 1 species
ACCCGUUCCCAUGCCGAACACGGAAGUUAAGCUCUUCAGCGCCGAUGAUAAUGAAGGGGCGACCCUUUGUGAAAGUAGGACGUUGCCAGGC